GCGAAGGGCGGGAGGGGUGGCGAGGGAGUACGUAGGGUGCAGAGGGGGUGCGGAAUGGUUGGGCGUAAAGCGCGGGCCGGGUGUCCUGUAAGUGUGAUGUGAAAGCCCACGGGUCAACCGUGGAGGGUGAGUGGAAACUGGGGGACUUGAGUGCAGAAGAGGAAAGCGGAAUUCCACGUGUAGCGGUGAAAUGCGUAGAGAUGUGGAGGAACACCAGUGGCGAAGGCGGCUUUCUGGUCUGUAACUGACGCUGAGGCGCGAAAGCGUGGGGAGCAAACAGGAUUAGAUACCCCUGUAGUC
rnacentral:rRNA from 1 species